GCGGGCGUAGUGCAAUGGUAGAACACCAGCCUUCCAAGCUGGAUACGUGGGUUCGAUUCCCAUCGCCCGCUCCA
rnacentral:tRNA from 1 species